AUUGAAUAAAUUUGGUCUUGAAAUCUAAAGUUGGGGAGAGUAAAUUAGAAGAGUUGAUUAGAAACUUGGAAAAGUGAUGUUUUAUAAAAAGGUGAAAGUGUGAAAAGAAACAAGAAAAAGAAAUCACCUUUGAAACUAUGGAGCAAAGAAAAAGAAAAGAAAGAAAAAACAAAGAAAAAACUCAUGGUUGUGUGGAUGUGAAAAAU
rnacentral:lncRNA from 1 species